rnacentral:rRNA from 1 species
CAACGCGAAGAACCUUACCUGGUCUUGACAUCCACAGAAGAAUCCAGAGAUGGAUUUGUGCCUUCGGGAACUGUGAGACAGGUGCUGCAUGGCUGUCGUCAGCUCGUGUUGUGAAAUGUUGGGUUAAGUCCCGCAACGAGCGCAACCCUUAUCCUUUGUUGCCAGCGGUUAGGCCGGGAACUCAAAGGAGACUGCCAGUGAUAAACUGGAGGAAGGUGGGGAUGACGUCAAGUCAUCAUGGCCCUUACGACCAGG